rnacentral:rRNA from 1 species
UACGUAGGGACCAAGCGUUGUUCGGAUUUACUGGGCGUAAAGGGCGCGUAGGCGGCGUGGUAAGUCACUUGUGAAAUCUCUGAGCUUAACUCAGAACGGUCAAGUGAUACUGCUGUGCUAGAGUGCGGAAGGGGCAAUCGGAAUUCCCGGUGUAGAGGUGAAAUUCGUAGAUAUCGGGAGGAACACCGGUGGCGAAGGCGGCGAUCUGGGUCGAUACUGACGCUGAGGUGCGAAAGCGUGGGGAGCAAACAGG